rnacentral:RNase_MRP_RNA from 2 species
AUUCAUAGCUGAAGAAUCGUCACUGAUCGAAGCUUGCACAAUGGACUUUGUUCCAGGUAAUAAUCCAUAAGCUUUGGGUAGAAAGUCUCCCACCAGACCGUAUGCGGAAAACGCAAUGAGAUUUAAAAAUUUUUACAAAACGUUUAAAUCAACUCAUUAGAGCUGGGCUUCGGGAGAGGGAGGUGAGCGGCUCGAUUCACUUAUCGUCUUUUCCUGAGGUUCUUCAUCUCCUGUCCCCUGGAAUUCUAGGAAUUUCGGUGGUGUCUUCGGUAAGGAAACCCAUAAAUGGGUUUUAAACCAUAGUUAUGACGAUUGUGGCGGUGACUUUUCAGUCCCGCGAUAACCCAAUGGAGCUUACUUUUCUCUGCUCAUGGA